rnacentral:rRNA from 1 species
GGCAGCACGGAGCUUGCUCUGGUGGCGAGUGGCGAACGGGUGAGUAAUAUAUCGGAACGUACCCUGGAGUGGGGGAUAACGUAGCGAAAGUUACGCUAAUACCGCAUACGAUCUAAGGAUGAAAGUGGGGGAUCGCAAGACCUCAUGCUCGUGGAGCGGCCGAUAUCUGAUUAGCUAGUUGGUAGGGUAAAAGCCUACCAAGGCAUCGAUCAGUAGCUGGUCUGAGAGGACGACCAGCCACACUGGAACUGAGACACGGUCCAGACUCCUACGGGAGGCAGCAGUGGGGAAUUUUGGACAAUGGGCGAAAGCCUGAUCCAGCAAUGCCGCGUGAGUGAAGAAGGCCUUCGGGUUGUAAAGCUCUUUUGUCAGGGAAGAAACGGUGAGAGCUAAUAUCUCUUGCUAAUGACGGUACCUGAAGAAUAAGCACCGGCUAACUACGUGCCAGCAGCCGCGGUAAUACGUAGGGUGCAAGCGUUAAUCGGAAUUACUGGGCGUAAAGCGUGCGCAGGCGGUUUUGUAAGUCUGAUGUGAAAUCCCCGGGCUCAACCUGGGAAUUGCAUUGGAGACUGCAAGGCUAGAAUCUGGCAGAGGGGGGUAGAAUUCCACGUGUAGCAGUGAAAUGCGUAGAUAUGUGGAGGAACACCGAUGGCGAAGGCAGCCCCCUGGGUCAAGAUUGACGCUCAUGCACGAAAGCGUGGGGAGCAAACAGGAUUAGAUACCCUGGUAGUCCACGCCCUAAACGAUGUCUACUAGUUGUCGGGUCUUAAUUGACUUGGUAACGCAGCUAACGCGUGAAGUAGACCGCCUGGGGGAGUACGGUCGCAAGAUUAAAA